rnacentral:piRNA from 1 species
UUCUGGGAGGGAGGAUCAGCAACAGU